rnacentral:piRNA from 1 species
UGAGGUUGUUUCACAAGCAUCCCUACUGGC